rnacentral:rRNA from 1 species
UAGCAUAUCAAUAAGCGGAGGAAAAGAAACCAACAGGGAUUGCCUCAGUAACGGCGAGUGAAGCGGCAACAGCUCAAAUUUGAAAUCUGGCCUUCUGGUCCGAAUUGUAAUUUGUAGAGGACGCUUUUGGUGCGGUACCUUCCGAGUUCCCUGGAACGGGACGCCUUAGAGGGUGAGAGCCCCGUACGGUUGGAUACCUAGCCUCUGUAUAGCUCCUUCGACGAGUCGAGUAGUUUGGGAAUGCUGCUCUAAAUGGGAGGUAAAUUUCUUCUAAAGCUAAAUACCGGCCAGAGACCGAUAGCGCACAAGUAGAGUGAUCGAAAGAUGAAAAGUACUUUGAAAAGAGGGUUAAAUAGCACGUGAAAUUGUUGAAAGGGAAGCGCUUAUGACCAGACCUUUGCCUGGCGGAUCAUCCGGUGUUCUCACCGGUGCACUUCGCCAGGUCGAGGCCAGCGUCGAUUUUUGGAGGGGGAUAAAGGCUUCGGGAAUGUGACUCCUCCGGGAGUGUUAUAGCCCGUUGCGUAAUACCCUUCCGGGGAUCGAGGUUCGCGCUCUGCAAGGACGCUGGCGUAAUGGUCAUCAGUGACCCGUCUUGAAACACGGACCAAGGAGUCGAACAUUUGUGCGAGUGUUUGGGUGUUAAACCCUCACGCGUAAUGAAAGUGAACGGAGGUGAGAGCCCUUACGGGUGCAUCAUCGACCGAUCCUGAAGUCUUCGGAUGGAUUUGAGUAAGAGCAUAACUGUUCGGACCCGAAAGAUGGUGAACUAUGCGUGGAUAGGGUGAAGCCAGAGGAAACUCUGGUGGAGGCUCGCAGCGGUUCUGACGUGCAAAUCGAUCGUCAAAUCUGCGCAUGGGGGCGAAAGACUAAUCGAACCAUCUAGUAGCUGGUACCGCGACU